GGGUGGCAGAGGCUGUGGUGCACCCUGCAGCUGUGGCUGCUCCUCGAGAGGCCACGGACCUGGCAGGAGCCAGCUAGUGCAGCAUGAUGGGCUUCUGGAAAGGCCAUCUACAUGGAGCUGUCCAGUCCGUCUUCUUUGAGCUUUUGUGGCCACAGCAGGUCUGCUUCCCACUCUCCAGCCCUUGUCCAUCCAGGCCACGGCCCUCAUCCAGCAGUUAAUCCAUCUCUGCUUUAAGGUACCUCUUACAUUACAUAAAUGCAUGUAGAGUUUUUAAAAAACGGCUACCACACACCAAGCUGGACUUCCUGUGCACGUGUGAAACCUGUGAAAUUUGUCUGGGGGCUGCAGUGCACAAUUUACUCUGUGGAACUUGCUCCCACACUACCUUUAUUCUCUCUUUUUGUGGCAGCCUCUAUAGACAGAGACUUUUAUUAGAACUGAAAUCUUUUUCAAUUUUGGCUAAAAAACAUCUACAAUGAGUAAUGAGCAAAGUUGGGAGGUUUGGAUUUUCAGUCUCCGUCUAGAUUGUCUUCCAGUGGGGUUUUGAAAAACCAAUUAAUUUUCAAUGAACUUGACUCUCCAUGUGGAGGACAGGUCCUAGAAUCUGACCCUGCCUCUCACAGAGUGGCCUGGUGUGAAGGCUGAGCAGAAUUAGCAGACCAUUUCCAGAUGUGCCAGCUUCAAAGUGAUGCCUCAGGAUUGAGGUAACCAUGCCAAGCUCUCCCUCUGCUCCAAAUGGGAUGUACUUGGAGCAAGUAGAGAAAGCCUUAAGGUGAUGCUCAGGGUCUUGGCUUUGCUUGCUGGCAUCUGACUUUGUUUGUUUAUCUGUAAAGGUGCACCCUGCUCAGAGACAUUGCAACUGUGAAUGAGUGGGGUCUGGCUCAGGGCCCCCAGCUUAGGGAGUCUUCUCUUGAG
rnacentral:lncRNA from 1 species